AUCAGAGCUCCCGGGCCCAACUGUAACCGGGUAUACUGUGCUGAUAUCAAACAUGACCUGCCGGUUUGGUGCUGCUGUAUGGACAAAACUGUGAGCGAGUCGUCCUGACAUAGCUGAGGACCUGAUUAGGUGGCUGUUGCUCUGAUCCAGACUCUCUACUGCAUUGGUUCUCAGCCUUUUAAGGUUUGAAAUUGUCUGUAAUAUCAGCAACCUGAGAACCACUGCACUGCAGCAACUACAAUCACUUCAGUGGCUACACAUGCUUUUACUUCCUCCCCCAGAGAACAGUGGAGCAUCAAGCACAAGGUGGAGAUCUAUGUCUGGAGAAGGCCUCCUGGAACUUCUUGGUGAGCUUCUCAAUCAGGCUGUAGCUCUCCACGUAGUCCACGUGAUCCUCAAGAGGCUCGCUGGCCAACUGUCUGAGCGUGGUCAUGUCCACGCGACCCACUCCUAUUGCGAAU